CAAGGAACAAAUGCACAUGCUUUUAUUUCUAAGCUGAGUCAAGGGCAUAAUGAGAUAAAACUCUCUAAACCUUUUCCCCCUCUUUUAUCUUUAGUACAGUUGACGUAUAGCUUGUGUCCUGUAAUUUACCUAGUAGACCUGUAAUUUACACCUUAUAUAGGUCAGGAGGCUUGCAUUAACUCUGUAGCCAAAUUAAUAUUUAUAUGUUGCCAUAAACUUCCAUUCAGUAUUGAUUGGCUCUUAACUUAUUGGAAUUGUAUGUGUCACACAUACAAUUGGAAUUGUAUGUGUCAUACAGCCAGAAUUCACAUGGAAGUGAGAAAUCUGCCUCUUGUUAAUAUGUAAAUAUAAAUUGUAAGAAAGUAGUCUAAUUGGAACUGUAUUUGGCUGAGGUGACUGGGCUUCUGCCAGGAAUAUUUGUCAUCCUCCCUCUCUAAUUUUAUGUAGUUCUCAUCUCUCGUCCAUGGAUCACACUUUUGCCAGGCCUCGCAUUUUGCCUGCUCCCUCCACUUCACCUUCCUCCUUUUUGUACUCAAUAAUUGUACAUAAAGCAAGUUGCUUCUAAAGUUAUUACUUUUUUGUGUCUGGAGAGGAGCAAGGGAUUCUUGUCAUACCUGCAAGUAAUUAGAACUAGAAUAUAAACUCAGUCUUUUGUAUGCUACAUUGUGAGUGCUCACUAAAUGUUAAAUAAAUGGAAGUGCUAUAAUUGCUGUCACAUGGAAAUGGAAGCAUCCCUUUUAAAGGCAUUUAUAUGUUGUUUACAGCUCAACUGAGUUUGUAGCUCCUUGUAUCUGUUUCUGGAAUCAAUAUUGUAUUAAUAUUAGGAUAAAUAAUUCUAGAAUUUUAGAGAACAGAUUUUAUUAUAUGAGUCUUGGUAUUAUCAUGUAAAAUAUAAUGAAAAAAAUUCAUUUAAUCCUAUUAUGAACAUUUUUUCGUUUCCUCAUUAUCCUUUGUCAUUUCUUCAGCUUUUUCUUUCAACAUACAUCAAAGUGUUCAAAAAGGAUCUUUUAGUAUUUGUUCUAUACAUUUUACUCAGCACCUUAUUGAAAUAGAACUUUAUAUUUAUCAUUCACAAAGGCAAGUUGUAAAACAGUUCCAGAUUUAUUUAGUUGGAGGAAAAGGCAGUUUAAAACAUCUAUGUAUAAUAACCAAAUCAAGUUAAGUGAUUUAGAAGAUAGUAAAAUAAAUAUUUUAGGUAUUCUCAAAUUAUAGGUGAACUUUGCAGGAGAAAGGCUGAAUGAAAUUAGAAAUAUUAUUUCUUUGCCAUAGCUUAAUAUUAUCCUAGCAAUAAGACAUUCAAUGACCAUGAAUAUUAAUAGCCUGUAGGACUUACUAGUUUUGUGUAAAUUGCCCUGUGGAUAGGUAUUAAGCAGUGGGAAUGGCAUCAGCCUUAAAGAUUGUAAAGCUGUCCCUCUCUGUGGUUAAAGUUUCAUAGUAGCAUCAAAUCCAUGAAAUAAAUAAUUCUGUUUUGCUUUAACUACAGUUUUCAGGUUUUAUUAAAAUUGAUUUUUGCUCUUUUUCUUGGCUUCUUUUAAGAUUUUAUAUUAAUUUGUUGUUAGACCUUUUUUUUUAAAGGCUAAACCAAGCUUCACACAGAAAAUACUAUAGUUGACACUGAAUUUCAUAAGUCACUUUGCAGUAUUCUUGACAAGAAUUUUUUCUUGGUCUGUUAUUGUCCUUUCUUGAUUGAUAUGUUCAGCUGCAUUUUAACCAAUUAGAAGGUUGUAUAUUUAUGCUAUUUUAUUUUCUAAUUAAAAUUAAGAAAAUAAAAUUACAAAUGUUGAUCAAGUGAUUUUUUUGUAAAAGAGAAAAGACUAAUCCAAGAAUAUUUUAUCCUCUGAAUACAGCUUGUUUCUUAAAAAACCUCUUUUUUGGCCAUACCUACAGCAUGUGGAAGUUCUCAGGCUAGGGAUCGAACCUAUGCCACAACAGCAACCUGGGCCGCUGCAGUGACAACUCUGUGUCCUUAACCUGCUGUGAUGUAAGAGAACUCCAAGACAAUUGUUUUUGAAGACAAUAUUGAUGAUGAUGCGCAUGGUGUAAGAAGCCUGAUCUUUGAACAAUAGUCCUUUCUGCCUUGUGUGUAUAAAGGUUUGAGGCUUUUAUUUGGUUAGCAGUUAUUGGUUGAGCCUGAUAGUGUUUUUGAUUGUCUUAAAAGGCUUUUGCUGAAAGCACCCCUUUUCCUGCUCAUCCUCUAACUUACCCCCACAUUCCUGAGGUUUAUCUUUGAAGUAGAUGUGUAGUUACUGUUUCUUUGAAGGUCAAAACUUCAUUGUUAUGAAGUUGUUUUAGUGGAUUUUAAAGCAUUUCUUUGUGAUACUAUAGGUAUCAUAUUAGAACAUGCUUGUGAUAGUAAUGUCCUUUGUAAGGACAUUCCGCUCACGAGGCUGGCCUAGCAAAAUUAAGUUGAGAUUAUUCUUUAAAAUAACUAGACGCACUAUUUGCAAAGUGUUAUUGGUCAAGAGGCACCUAUAAACUCUCUAGGUUGUUCAUGGCUUCUAUGGAUAUGAAGUUAGCUUGACCCAUAUUUAGAACAAUUCCGGGACAGAAAAUGUGGUAUAUAUACACAAUUGAAUACUACUCAUCCAUAAAAACGAAUGGGAUAAUGCCUUUUGCAGCAACAUGGAUGGAACUAGAGGUUCUCAUACUAAGUAAAGUAAUUAAGAAAGAGAAAGACAAAUACCACAUGAUAUCACUUAUAUGUGGAAUCUAAAAUGUGGCACAAAUGAACCUAUCUACAGAACAGAAACAGACCCACAGACAUGGAGAACAGACUUGUGGUUGCCAAGGGGGAGGAGGGGGAGAGUGGGAUUGACUGGGCAUUUGAGGUUGGUUAGUAGAUGCAAACUAUUAUAUUUAGUAUGGAUAAGCAACGAGGGGACUACAUCCAAUCACUUUUGAUAGAACAUCAUGGAAAAUAAUAGAAAAAGAAUGUAUAUCUAUGUAUGAUUGACUAGGUCACUUUGCUGUACAGCAGAAAUUGACAGAACAUUGUAAAUCAAGUAUAAUACAAAAAUUUGAAAACAAAAUAAUAACACCAAUUUGUACAUUUCUGUUUUUCAUAUGGAGCUUGAUGUCAAGUAGUUAAUAUACUCUUUUUCCCAGUGGGUAGUUACCUGACUUUGGUUAAGUAGUAUUAUCUCUUAGCAUCACUGAUUAGAUAUUUCUUGUGAUAUAAGCAGUAGAAUUCAGUAAAUUCAUCUUUAUUGGCGGUGAAAGUUUCUCAUUAGUGAUUUUCUGGAUUAGGGACAGGUGUUUUUUGAUUUUUUUGUUUUGCUUUUUUUGGGGGGGUGCUUUUGUCUGUAGUUAACUGCUGAAUGUAUAGGGUUUUUCAAAAAAACUUGCCUUGUUAAAACCUCAUCAGGGAAUCCCCAUUGCUGCUCAGCGGAAGUGAACCCAAUCAGUAUCCAUGGGGAUAUGGGUUCAAUCCUUGGCCUCACUCAGUGGGUUAAGGAUCCAGUGUUGCUGUAAGCUGCAGUGUAGGUCCCAGUCACAGCUCGAUAUGUGUUGCUGUGGCUAUGGUGUAGGCUGGCAGCUGUAACUCCAAUUCAGCUCCUAACCUGGGAACUUCCUUAUGCCAUGGGUGUAGCCCUAAAAAG
rnacentral:lncRNA from 1 species